rnacentral:tRNA from 1 species
GGAGGGGUGGCCGAGAGGCUGAAGGCGGCGGUUUGCUAAACCGUUAUACUCUGUCAAGGGGUAUCGUGGGUUCGAAUCCCAUCUCCUCCGCCA